rnacentral:rRNA from 1 species
UACGUAGGGAGCGAGCGUUGUCCGGAUUUAUUGGGCUUAAAGGGCGCGUAGGCGGGUUCGCAAGUCUGUGGUGAAAGCCUCCAGCUUAACUGGAGAAGUGCCGUGGAUACUGCGAAUCUUGAGGAGGGUAGGGGCGUCUGGAACGGUCGGUGGAGCGGUGAAAUGCGUUGAUAUCGACCGGAACUCCGGUGGCGAAGGCGAGGCGCUGGACCCUUUCUGACGCUGAGGCGCGAAAGCCAGGGGAGCAAACGGGG